AAUGCCUGUCCCUCCUCAAUGCUGCCCAGAAGACAAUGGGUGGUUUAUUCUCUGGAAAGGAUAAAACAGAAGGUCUAUACUGGGGAAAGCUGUGCUGGCAUCAGAGCUUCCUACCUUUCUGUGAGAUGUCGAACUUCAUUCUAUAAUCAAGCUCAAUGUCGAAGUUUUUGGUUUAUAAUUCAGCUUUAGAAUUUGGGUCAUCAAAUUACUGUGGCUUAAAGAACUAUAUUUAGGGAGGUCCAAGGGCCUUGCCAAGAAAUUAAUUUUUAACCCAAGAUCCAAAUGUUGUCUUAAAGUGAAGAGCAAAAAGGAGAAGGAAAGGAAUCUAGGUGGAGGGCAUGUCACACAAAAAUGCCCUGGGAUAGCAGGAAGUAACAAGAGUACAUGAGGCUAAAGAAGGUGAAUGUGGCUGGAUACCAAAAAGUAAAGAAGAACCCAUAGGAGAGAGAUUGGAG
rnacentral:lncRNA from 1 species